AAACUCGAUGACUUGGCCCAUCAUCGCUGGGGUGAGUGCGGCAGCGGCCGCCGUCCUCCUCCUCCCCGUGGCCUUCGUCUGCUUCAGAAAAACCCGAGCCAGAAAAGGAGCCGCACUGAGACCGAGCAGCACCAGCCCUAUGGGGGCAUUAAAGGCACCAGCUCAGCAAGACUCCACCU